CUUCACGCAUGCUACAAUGGCCGGUACAAAGGGCUGCGAUACCGCGAGGUGGAGCGAAUCCCAGAAAGCCGGUCUCAGUUCGGAUUGGGGUCUGCAACUCGACCCCAUGAAGUCGGAGUCGCUAGUAAUCGCAGAUCAGCAACGCUGCGGUGAAUACGUUCCCGGGCCUU
rnacentral:rRNA from 1 species